rnacentral:rRNA from 1 species
GACGAACGCUGGCGGCGUGCUUAACACAUGCAAGUCGAACGGAAAGGCCCUGCUUUUGUGGGGUGCUCGAGUGGCGAACGGGUGUGUAACACGUGAGUAACCUGCCCUUGACUUUGGGAUAACUUCAGGAAACUGGGGCUAAUACCGGAUAGGAGCUCCUGCUGCAUGGGGGGGGUUGGAAAGUUUCGGCGGUUGGGGAUGGACUCGCGGCUUAUCAGCUUGUUGGUGGGGUAGUGGCUUACCAAGGCUUUGACGGGUAGCCGGCCUGAGAGGGUGACCGGCCACAUUGGGACUGAGAUACGGCCCAGACUCCUACGGGAGGCAGCAGUGGGGAAUAUUGCACAAUGGGCGGAAGCCUGAUGCAGCAACGCUGCGUGCGGGAUGACGGCCUUCGGGUUGUAAACCGCUUUCGCCUGUGACGAAGCGUGAGUGACGGUAAUGGGUAAAGAAGCACCGGCUAACUACGUG